GUAUAGUUCUUCGGAAUUAGAGACCGGCGCACGGGUGCGUAACGCGUAUGCAAUCUACCUUUCACAGAGGGAUAGCCCAGAGAAAUUUGGAUUAAUACCUCAUAGUAUAGUACAAUCGCAUGAUUGAACUAUUAAAGUCACAACGGUGAAAGAUGAGCAUGCGUCCCAUUAGCUAGUUGGUAAGGUAACGGCUUACCAAGGCUACGAUGGGUAGGGGUCCUUAGAGGGAGAUCCCCCACACUGGUACUGAGACACGGACCAGACUCCUACGGGAGGCAGCAGUGAGGAAUAUUGGACAAUGGGCGCAAGCCUGAUCCAGCCAUGCCGCGUGCAGGAUGACGGUCCUAUGGAUUGUAAACUGCUUUUGCACAGGAAGAAACAACGCUACGUGUAGCGUCUUGACGGUACUGUGAGAAUAAGGAUCGGCUAACUCCGUGCCAGCAGCCGCGGUAAUACGGAGGAUCCAAGCGUUAUCCGGAAUCAUUGGGUUUAAAGGGUCCGUAGGCGGUUUAGUAAGUCAGUGGUGAAAGCCCAUCGCUCAACGGUGGAACGGCCAUUGAUACUGCUAGACUUGAAUUAUUAGGAAGUAACUAGAAUAUGUAGUGUAGCGGUGAAAUGCUUAGAGAUUACAUGGAAUACCAAUUGCGAAGGCAGGUUACUACUAAUGGAUUGACGCUGAUGGACGAAAGCGUGGGUAGCGAACAGGAUUAGAUACCCUGGUAGUCCACGCCGUAAACGAUGGAUACUAGCUGUUGGGAGCGAUCUCAGUGGCUAAGCGAAAGUGAUAAGUAUCCCACNUGGGGAGUACGUUCGCAAGAAUGAAACUCCAAGGAAUUGACGGGGG
rnacentral:rRNA from 1 species